rnacentral:rRNA from 1 species
UACGGAGGGUGCAAGCGUUAUCCGGAUUUACUGGGUUUAAAGGGUGCGUAGGUGGGUUUGUAAGUCAGUGGUGAAAUCUCCGAGCUUAACUCGGAAACUGCCAUUGAUACUAUAGAUCUUGAAUUAUCUGGAGGUGAGCGGAAUAUGUCAUGUAGCGGUGAAAUGCUUAGAUAUGACAUAGAACACCAAUUGCGAAGGCAGCUCACUACGGAUUGAUUGACACUGAGGCACGAAAGCGUGGGGAUCAAACAGG